UUAUAGGCUCCUUUUGGAGCCACUCUUAUCUAUAAAAAUAUUCAU
rfam:Harpegnathos saltator strain R22 G/1 HarSal_1.0_1.contig4573, whole genome shotgun sequence.